rnacentral:rRNA from 1 species
UACAGAGGUUCCAAGCGUUGUUCGGAUUCAUUGGGCGUAAAGGGUGUGUAGGCGGCGCCGUAAGUCAGGUGUGAAAUCUCGGGGCUUAACUCCGAAACUGCAUUUGAUACUGCGGUGCUUGAGGACUGGAGAGGAGACUGGAAUUUACGGUGUAGCGGUGAAAUGCGUAGAUAUCGUAAGGAAGACCAGUGGCGAAGGCGGGUCUCUGGACAGUUCCUGACGCUGAGACACGAAGGCCAGGGGAGCAAACGGG